rnacentral:sRNA from 1 species
CCGCCCGUCACACCAUGAGAGUUGGUAAUACCAGAAGCACGUAUCUUAACCGUAAGGAGGGAGCGUACCAAGGUAGGAUUAGCGAUUAGGGUGAAGUCGUAACAAGGUAUCCGUACGGGAACGUGCGGAUGGAUCACCUCCUUUCUAUGGAGUAUUCGUAGAUUAAGAGAAAAAGCUGAGUGAAACGAUAAAACAGCUUAUGAUUAUAUCUCGUUCUAUCUAGUUUUCAGAGAUUGUUUUUGCGGGCCUUUCGGCCCAAACAAUUUCUGUAAAGAAAAUCGUUCUUUGAAAACUGAAUAUUAGAUGAAAAUAGACAUUUUAUUUUUCUUACGUUUAUAAACAAUAUAAAACGUAUUAGUAACUUAAUUUAGAUUAAUACUAAGAAAACUAAAAUUUCAUUAAUUUUAUAGAUUAUCUAUAUAUGCAAUAGGUUUUUCUUUAGAAAGUAUAGUAAGGGCGUACGGUGAAUGCCUUGGAAAAUGGAGCCGAUGAAGGACGUGACUACCUGCGAAAAGUGCCGGGGAGCUGGAAGUAAGCUUUGAUCCGACAAUGUCCGAAUGGGGAAACCCAGCACGAUUAAUCUCGUGUUAUCCAUAACUGAAUACAUAGGUUAUGAGAAGGGAACCUUGGGAACUGAAACAUCUUAGUACCAAGAGGAAAAGAAAACGAAUGUGAUUCUGUAAGUAGCGGCGAGCGAAAGCGGAACAGGCCAAACCGGUCUACGGGCCGGGGUUGUAGGACUCAUGUUAGAGUUACAAAGUUAGUGUAUAGCAGAAGCUGUUGGGAAGCAGCGCCGCAGAGGGUGAUAGCCCCGUAUGCGAAAUGCACUAACCUCGAGUGAGUAUCCUGAGUACGGCGGGGCACGAGAAACCCUGUCGGAAUCUACCCAGACCACUGGGUAAGCCUAAAUACUACCAUUUUACCGAUAGUGAACCA